rnacentral:rRNA from 1 species
UAAUACGUAGGUGGCGAACGUUGUCCGGAUUUACUGGGCGUAAAGCGCGCGCAGGCGGACUAGUCAGUCCAGGGUGAAAUCUCCCGGCUCAACUGGGAGGAGUCCCCGGAUACUGCCAGUCUUGAGGUGCCUAGAGGAGAGUGGAAUUCAGGGUGUAGUGGUGGAAUGCGUAGAUAUCCUGAGGAACACCAGUGGCGAAAGCGACUCUCUGGGGGCAACCUGACGCUGAGGCGCGAAAGCGUGGGGAGCAAACCGGAUUAGAUACCCGGGUAGUCCACGCCGUAAACGAUGAGUACUAGCUGUAUGGGGUAUCGACUCCCUGUGUAGCGAAGCUAACGCGAUAAGUACUCCGCCUGGGGACUACGGCCGCAAGGCUA